UUUUGAUAUUUAUUGGAAUUUUGGUGAUUCUUUCAUACAUCUAUGUUCCGCCUCGACAUAUGAUUGAUGUAAACUUUAUUUGACUCUUUGGAAUAUCUUUUUGCAGGUUUGUGUAAUUAGAGUUAAAGUACGUUCUCGUGGUUGGCAAAAGGCAGUCAACAGAGUAUUGAGAAGCACCAGAGGAGUGCGUCAAUUCAGACUGAUAGAGGAUGGGAAAGUGGAAGUAUCGGGGAUUGUGGAUCCGCUUUUAUUAUUGAAAAAUCUUGCUAAAUCUAAAAAUUCUGUAGAAUUAGAAUGGGUCCAAUAUGGUCAAUGUUCCAGCAAUUUAUUUCUUCCACCAAAACCUUCAAAGGCCCCUGAUAAUGGGCCAUUUAGUCAAGGAGGACCUUUUCGUAAUUUCAAUAAUUCCA